GGUUAAGCGACUAAGCGUACACGGUGGAUGCCCUGGCAGUCAGAGGCGAUGAAGGACGUGCUAAUCUGCGAAAAGCGUCGGUAAGGUGAUAUGAACCGUUAUAACCGGCGAUGUCCGAAUGGGGAAACCCAGUGUGAUUCGUCACACUAUCGUUAACUGAAUACAUAGGUUAACGAGGCGAACCGGGGGAACUGAAACAUCUAAGUACCCCGAGGAAAAGAAAUCAACCGAGAUUCCCCCAGUAGCGGCGAGCGAACGGGGAGCAGCCCAGAGUCUGAAUCAGCUUGUGUGUUAGUGGAACGGUCUGGAAAGUCCGACGGUACAGGGUGAUAGUCCCGUACACCAAAAUGCACAGGCUGUGAACUCGAAGAGUAGGGCGGGACACGUGGUAUCCUGUCUGAAUAUGGGGGGACCAUCCUCCAAGGCUAAAUACUCCUGACUGACCGAUAGUGAACCAGUACCGUGAGGGAAAGGCGAAAAGAACCCCGGCGAGGGGAGUGAAAAAGAACCUGAAACCGUGUACGUACAAGCAGUGGGAGCACCUUCGGGUGUGACUGCGUACCUUUUGUAUAAUGGGUCAGCGACUUAUAUUCUGUAGCAAGGUUAACCGUAUAGGGGAGCCGCAGGGAAACCGAGUCUUAACUGGGCGUUAAGUUGCAGGGUAUAGACCCGAAACCCGGUGAUCUAGCCAUGGGCAGGUUGAAGGUUGGGUAACACUAACUGGAGGACCGAACCGACUAAUGUUGAAAAAUUAGCGGAUGACUUGUGGCUGGGGGUGAAAGGCCAAUCAAACCGGGAGAUAGCUGGUUCUCCCCGAAAGCUAUUUAGGUAGCGCCUCGUGAAUUCAUCUUCGGGGGUAGAGCACUGUUUCGGCUAGGGGGUCAUCCCGACUUACCAACCCGAUGCAAACUACGAAUACCGAAGAAUGUUAUCACGGGAGACACACGGCGGGUGCUAACGUCCGUCGUGAAGAGGGAAACAACCCAGACCGCCAGCUAAGGUCCCAAAGUCAUGGUUAAGUGGGAAACGAUGUGGGAAGGCACAGACAGCCAGGAUGUUGGCUUAGAAGCAGCCAUCAUUUAAAGAAAGCGUAAUAGCUCACUGGUCGAGUCGGCCUGCGCGGAAGAUGUAACGGGGCUAAACCAUGCACCGAAGCUGCGGCAGCGACACUAUGUGUUGUUGGGUAGGGGAGCGUUCUGUAAGCCUGCGAAGGUGACCUGUGAGGGUUGCUGGAGGUAUCAGAAGUGCGAAUGCUGACAUAAGUAACGAUAAAGCGGGUGAAAAGCCCGCUCGCCGGAAGACCAAGGGUUCCUGUCCAACGUUAAUCGGGGCAGGGUGAGUCGACCCCUAAGGCGAGGCCGAAAGGCGUAGUCGAUGGGAAACAGGUUAAUAUUCCUGUACUUGGUGUUACUGCGAAGGGGGGACGGAGAAGGCUAUGUUAGCCGGGCGACGGUUGUCCCGGUUUAAGCAUGUAGGCUGAUUGUCCAGGCAAAUCCGGAUAAUCAAGGCUGAGGUGUGAUGACGAGGCACUACGGUGCUGAAGUAACAAAUGCCCUGCUUCCAGGAAAAGCCUCUAAGCAUCAGGUAACAUCAAAUCGUACCCCAAACCGACACAGGUGGUCAGGUAGAGAAUACCAAGGCGCUUGAGAGAACUCGGGUGAAGGAACUAGGCAAAAUGGUGCCGUAACUUCGGGAGAAGGCACGCUGGUGUGUAGGUGAAGUCCCUGCGGAUGGAGCUGAGACCAGUCGAAGAUACCAGCUGGCUGCAACUGUUUAUUAAAAACACAGCACUGUGCAAACACGAAAGUGGACGUAUACGGUGUGACGCCUGCCCGGUGCCGGAAGGUUAAUUGAUGGGGUUAUCCGUAAGGAGAAGCUCUUGAUCGAAGCCCCGGUAAACGGCGGCCGUAACUAUAACGGUCCUAAGGUAGCGAAAUUCCUUGUCGGGUAAGUUCCGACCUGCACGAAUGGCGUAAUGAUGGCCAGGCUGUCUCCACCCGAGACUCAGUGAAAUUGAACUCGCUGUGAAGAUGCAGUGUACCCGCGGCAAGACGGAAAGACCCCGUGAACCUUUACUAUAGCUUGACACUGAACAUUGAGCCUUGAUGUGUAGGAUAGGUGGGAGGCUUUGAAGCGUGGACGCCAGUCUGCGUGGAGCCAACCUUGAAAUACCACCCUUUAAUGUUUGAUGUUCUAACGUUGGCCCCUGACCGGGGUUGCGGACAGUGUCUGGUGGGUAGUUUGACUGGGGCGGUCUCCUCCCAAAGCGUAACGGAGGAGCACGAAGGUUAGCUAAUCCUGGUCGGACAUCAGGAGGUUAGUGCAAUGGCAUAAGCUAGCUUGACUGCGAGCGUGACGGCGCGAGCAGGUGCGAAAGCAGGUCAUAGUGAUCCGGUGGUUCUGAAUGGAAGGGCCAUCGCUCAACGGAUAAAAGGUACUCCGGGGAUAACAGGCUGAUACCGCCCAAGAGUUCAUAUCGACGGCGGUGUUUGGCACCUCGAUGUCGGCUCAUCACAUCCUGGGGCUGAAGUAGGUCCCAAGGGUAUGGCUGUUCGCCAUUUAAAGUGGUACGCGAGCUGGGUUUAGAACGUCGUGAGACAGUUCGGUCCCUAUCUGCCGUGGGCGCUGGAGAAUUGAGGGGGGCUGCUCCUAGUACGAGAGGACCGGAGUGGACGCAUCACUGGUGUUCGGGUUGUCAUGCCAAUGGCACUGCCCGGUAGCUAAAUGCGGAAGAGAUAAGUGCUGAAAGCAUCUAAGCACGAAACUUGCCCCGAGAUGAGUUCUCCCUGAGACUUUAAGUCUCCUGAAGGAACGUUAAAGACGAUGACGUUGAUAGGCCGGGUGUGUAAGCGCAGCGAUGCGUUGAGCUAACCGGUACUAAUGAACCGUGAGGCUUAACCUU
rnacentral:rRNA from 1 species